AAAACUUCUAUACCACACAGCCAAGCUUAGCCAGCUAACUCAUGAGCUGUACACUGUCCCUCUGUAGUGCAAUGAUAAAAGGGAUGUAGUGCUAUCACUUAGAUUAGAAAUUUUUUGUCCUGAGUUCCUGGAUAUACUCAGGGCCAUAAUACAGCCCAAGAAGGUCACCUUUGCUACAAUAAAAUGCUCCAAGUGUGGUGGGUCCUAUGUUUAUGAUUUGGAUUUUGCUUAAAAAAAAACCCCUCCCUGGGGUUGA
rnacentral:lncRNA from 1 species